AACGAACGCUGGCGGCGUGCCUAACACAUGCAAGUCGAGCGAGAAAGCCCGCAAGGGUGAGUACAGCGGCGCACGGGUGAGUAACACGUGGGUAAUCUGCCCCGAAGCUCGGAAUAACUCGCCGAAAGGCGUGCUAAUGCCGGAUAAGACCACGAGGACUUCGGUCCUUGAGGGAAAAGGUGGCCUCUGUAUACAAGCUACCACUUCAGGAUGAGCCCGCGGCCCAUCAGCUAGUUGGCGGGGUAAAGGCCCACCAAGGCUACGACGGGUAGCUGGUCUGAGAGGACGACCAGCCACACUGGAACUGAGACACGGUCCAGACUCCUACGGGAGGCAGCAGUGGGGAAUCUUGCGCAAUGGGCGAAAGCCUGACGCAGCAACGCCGCGUGUGUGAUGAAGGUCUUCGGAUCGUAAAGCACUGUCGGGAGGGACGAAUAGAUGCCGGGUGAACAAUCCGGUGUGAUGACGGUACCUCCAAAGGAAGCACCGGCUAACUCUGUGCCAGCAGCCGCGGUAACAC
rnacentral:rRNA from 1 species